GGGAACAACAGGAUAUUACCGAAAAUUCUGAAAGAUUAUUCAAAAAUAGCUUAUCCCAUGAUAAAAUAUUUAGAAAAAGGCAAAAAAAUAAAUGCCAAAGACUCACAAUAUAUUGAAAGCUUUGAGAACAUCAAGCACUCAUUUCAUAUCACCCAAUUCUAAAAUUCACCAGAGUAUGAUAAAAAAUUUAGUAUCACAACUGAUACUAGUGACUAUGCCAUUAGAGCAGUACUUUCACAGAAAGGUCAACCAAUGUGUUACCGUUCAAGAACACUAAAUAAUCACGAGCAAAAAUACUCGACUACAGACAAAGAAUUUUUAGCAGUAAUUUUUUCAAUCACAUAUUUUCGACCAUAUAUAUAUGACAACAAAGUUAAAAUAAUAACAGAUCAUUGUCCAAUCAAACAUCUAGUUAAUAAAUAUAAAGGAAAGGAAUUUUCUCAACGCUGUCAGAGGUGGUUAUUAAAAUUGCAGGAAUAUAACUUUGAAAUAGACUACGUAAAUGAAAAAAAUUAUGUUGUAGCUGAUUUCUUGAGUUGAAUUGACAACUCAACAAUAACAAAAGAAGGUAACGACAAUAAAUCAAGCAUGGAAUUGUCAGAAACAAUUCAUUCAACAGAUGAAGAACUGAGCACUUCCUAAUUAAAGAAGAAAUUGUAAAUAAAUAUAAAGUUAAAAUUAUAUUAACACAUAGCCCAAAAGAAAAAAGGAAGCGGAAUAGUGGGAAUAUUUUCGGAAGUGUCUGAAGUAGAUUAUCAUAAAAUACAGAAAUUACUCAUUGAAAUGUUUGCACAAGAUAGAAGUUUAAAAUUUGUAAAAUUCACAAAAAAGCCUCUGAAAUAGAAGAAGAAGAGGAAUUACACAAUCAAAUAUCAAUGUACUAUACAAAGGAAUGUAUGCAUAGUGGCAUGAAAUAUAUAAUACAUUAAAAGAUAAAAUAUAUUAUUCGAAAUUAAAGGAAGAAAUACAAUUGAUAAUUGCCAAAAAUGCCAACCAAUCAAAUACGAUAGAAAACCGAUAAAACCAAAAUUUAAUCUAACAGAAACACCAACAAAUAAAAAUGAGAUAAUUGAUAUGACAUAUUCCAUUUCAACAAACAAUUAUUUGUGACUGCGAUUGAUAAGUUAACCAAAUUUCCAGCAGUUUACAGAAUAACAAAUAGAAACUGUAAAGCUAAAAAGACAAUAAUUAUGGAACAUUUUGCAAAAUUCGAAGUUCAUCACACAAAACCAAAUAGUCAUACAGCAAAUGCAGAUAUUGAGACUUCAAGCAACCUUGUUGGAAAAACUAACAGGAAUUGAGGAUCCUAAUAUUUCAACAGAAAUGAGAAUACAAAUUGUUAUAUGCAACUAUAACGAUAGGUAUCACUCAACUAUCAAAUGUUCUCCAAAGGACACCAAAGAAAACAUUUGUCCAUCCAUAUUACAAGAUAGAAUAAAUAUGGUAAAACAAGAAACAAUAGCCAAGUUAACUCCAUAUAGAGAAGAAUACAUGAAAAACAGAGAAAUAGGGCCGAUUAAAAACUACAAAAGAGUACGGCAUACAGAUCAACAUAUUACCGAAUUAAUCCACUGCAAAAUGUUCAUCCGACAAAUAUAAAAAGAUCAAUGAAAUUGGAAAAUAAAGCAAACCCAAACGAGAAAGAUGGUGAUACAUUUAGUUUUAGCACAUUUAAUAGGGACAAUAACACUUCAAAAAAAAAUAAAAAUUUUAUUACAUGAUUUUACCCCAGUGGGUACGGGGUUUUCCAAGAAUAUUACAGCUUGCACAGACGGACGAACUCGUCCCUUCAUUAAUAUACCGAGUCGUCGAUUUUGAGAAACAACGGCUCCAAGUAAAUUAAGCGAAAUCAAACAAAACAGUCAAAUUCGUAAUUCGCGAUACUCCAUUUAGAGAGGGGUUCCACGUCUACUUGCAACCGGAGUUUAGAGUUUGAUACAUUGAAUACCUUUAAAAAAAAUUAUAUGUACUUAUUCAUUAUUUAAGAAGAGUUGUAACUGAAAAAUUUACUAAAAUUGAUCUUCAAAAACAUGGUUGCUCUUUAAACCCUUUAUAAAUUUUUAAAGAAAUAUUACUCUAACUCUUUUUGUUGUAAAAUAUUUUUUAAGAAUUUUCAUUGUCUAUUGAUGCAUAAUUAUGAUUAAAAUAACCUUUAUUGAUGCAAUAAUUGUGCUUAAACGCUGCUCUAUUAUAAAC